rnacentral:rRNA from 1 species
UACGUAGGGGGCGAGCGUUGUCCGGAUAUAUUGGGCGUAAAGAGCUCGUAGGCGGUUUGUCGCGUCUGCUGUGAAAACUGGGGGCUCAACCCCCAGCCUGCAGUGGGUACGGGCAGACUAGAGUGCGGUAGGGGAGAUUGGAAUUCCUGGUGUAGCGGUGGAAUGCGCAGAUAUCAGGAGGAACACCGAUGGCGAAGGCAGAUCUCUGGGCCGUAACUGACGCUGAGGAGCGAAAGCGUGGGGAGCGAACAGG